rnacentral:rRNA from 1 species
GAUGAACGCUGGCGGCGUGCCUAACACAUGCAAGUCGAGCGAGAAACCUCUUUGAAGAUACUUCGGUUGAUUCUGUGAGGCGGAAAGCGGCGGACGGGUGAGUAACGCGUAGGCAACCUGCCCCAUGCAGAGGGAUAGCCUCGGGAAACCGGGAUUAAAACCUCAUAAUACGCAGACAAGACAUCUUGACUGCGUCAAAGAUUUAUCGGCAAGGGAUGGGCCUGCGUCUGGUUAGUUAGUUGGUGAGGUAACGGCUCACCAAGGCGACGAUCAGUAGCCGACCUGAGAGGUUUAUCCCCCACAUUGGUACUGAGACACGGACCAA